rnacentral:snRNA from 1 species
UCAAGACACGCUUGUUCUUGA